rnacentral:rRNA from 1 species
CCUACGGGUGGCUGCAGUGAGGAAUAUUGGUCAAUGGGCGGGAGCCUGAACCAGCCAAGCCGCGUGAAGGAAGAAGGCGCCAGGCGUCGUAAACUUCUUUUGUCGGGGAACAAAGGGCGCCACGCGUGGCGUUGUGAGUGUACCCGAAGAAAAAGCAUCGGCUAACUCCGUGCCAGCAGCCGCGGUAAUACGGAGGAUGCGAGCGUUAUCCGGAUUUAUUGGGUUUAAAGGGUGCGUAGGCCGCAUGUCAAGCGUGCUGUGAAAUGUCCGGGCUCAACCCGGGCCUUGCAGCGCGAACUGGCGUGCUUGAGUCCGCGGAAAGCAGGCGGAAUUCGUCGUGUAGCGGUGAAAUGCUUAGAUAUGACGAAGAACCCCGAUUGCGAAGGCAGCUUGCUGCAGCGGAACUGACGCUGAUGCUCGAAAGCGCGGGUAUCGAACAGGAUUAGAUACCCCGGUAGUC